CACGUCUUUUUUGAUUGUCUCGCCCGCAACACCGGCGACGACUGCCAUUGCACCAUCGGGUGAAAAGGUUGCGCAUCCUGAUAGCGCAAACAUUGAAAUAAGCGCGGCUACACACGCCGCCUUCGAUCGGAACGGGUUCGCAACGACAACCAACGGUACGAUCUGGAGGGUUCGGUUCAUCGUGCGCUCCUAUUGCCCGGACU
rnacentral:misc_RNA from 1 species